rnacentral:misc_RNA from 1 species
CACUCUUUCAGUAUUCAAAAGAUAGCUCCUGAAGUAACACUCGGCAAGGUGACGAGGCAGGUGUCGGGAGCAGGUGUUGACCCUCGUUCAUCUUCGCGUCCUCCCUUCCCGUUGAAUCUCGUGUUGUGUUCUCUUAUCUACUUCCACUAUUUUCACAUUCAUCCUAAUCUUGCAACCCUUCGCCGUCACCAGACACGCAGCGCUGAAUAAACAGAACAAAACUGGCACACUUACUGAUUUUCCUUCCUGGCCAAAGAAGAAAGAGGAAGAAGAGGAGGAGGAAGAAGAAGAAGAGAAGGAGGAGGAGGAGGAGGAGGAGGAG